UUUAGUGUCGAAACUAAAUUUGAAACACUUCAAUCCUUUUCGAAUUUGAAAGUGCAACAAUUUAGGGGUUUGGAUACUGCAAGGGAUGCUUUGUGGAAAAAAAACCUGAUGCUAAAAG
rnacentral:rRNA from 1 species